UACGGAGGGUGCGAGCGUUGUCCGGAAUCACUGGGCGUAAAGGGCGCGUAGGCGGCGCGACAAGUCAACGGUGAAAGCCCGGGGCUCAACCCCGGGUCGGCCGUCGAUACUGUUGGGCUUGAGCACUGUAGAGGCAGAUGGAAUUCCGGGUGUAGCGGUGGAAUGCGUAGAGAUCCGGAAGAACACCGGUGGCGAAGGCGGUCUGCUGGGCAGUAGCUGACACUGAUGCGCGACAGCGUGGGGAGCAAACAGG
rnacentral:rRNA from 1 species